AAUUAUUUCUAGCGAUAUAACUACCACGUUCCACCCCUACCCCGUCGGUGCGCCUCUAAGGUGACACAAGACGAACUCAAUAAGCUUCAGAUCCAGUAGAGAAAACUCGGCGAAAAUCGGCGCAAAAGAUCAAUGGGGAGAAAACAGGUAGGGUUUAGGUAUAUUCGGAUUCUUCGUGAACUCGUACAACUUCGUCCAAUAUUUAUAAUUUAGGCAAGAAUCUUACUUCAACGCGUCAAAUCCGUGUAAAACAAGAUAAACUUAAGAUUAUACGGAUAAGAAUUAGAAUUAGAAUAAAGAUAAAACCAAAAAAUAAAAAAAAAAUAAAAAAAUGAACUAAAAUAAAAUAAAUCGGGUGUAUUUGCGGCCCGCCCGGCUCGUGGUCGUGCUGUGCGUGCGUUUAAACGAGAGUAUAACUCUCAUUUUCUCCCAAAUAACUAGCUUGAGUAAAGUAAUAUAUAAAUACCAUCAACACCUUUUUAGUUUUCAAUAUGAAACUAAACUUCAUACAUGAAAACUUUAGUUGGGCUUCCAAGCCAGGUCCAUUAAUAAUUAUUGGGCAUCUCAAGAUGUCUAACAAAUUUUAAAUCACAAAAAUUCAAUAAAAUCUAAUAUGGUAUAUAUGGUUCACAAAUUACUUAACUUUUU
rnacentral:lncRNA from 1 species